ACACACACACUCUCGCUCUCUCAUUCUCCUUUCCCUCCUCUCCAUCUCCCUAUUGCAUUGUGUCUGACUGAUUUUCAGAGCACCUUCGCUGUUUCCCCCUUCUCAUUCCCUUUCUGUAAAAUAUCUAGACAGGAAGGAGGUGGCUGCAGAGGCUGAACAAACAAUCUCAUAUUCUGCCUGCAAUGUCAUCGUUUCUUUCCCCCAUUUUAGGGGGCUGAAGUUGCCCAGGAAGGGGAUGCAGAGGAGCUGGAAAGGAAGGGGGGAGCUCUCCAGAGGCAGCUGCGGUCAGGGGCAGGGACUGCCGCCAGAUGUGCCUGCCUCUCUGGGCUUUGAUUCGAAAGGGGCAGCAGGAGGAAGUAUUGGGAGACAAAAGCCCCGGUUUAAAUGAUCAUUUUCUUUAUUUAACAUGGCAGCAGACACUCUCUGCGUAGGAUCAUCAUGCCGAGCAUAAACUGGACUUUCCCACUUGCCUGGCAGGAGUGAGACAGAUCACUGUCUGCUAAAUGAGCAUCUGAGGUAAGACCCACUGUUACAGAUACUUGCUUUUUUUCCUAAACAAUUAAUUUUCUUAAAUAUGUUUCAGCCUCAAUCACAAACAGUAUAGUGGGGGCAAAUCUGUGUUAAUCUGCAUCUAAAGAGCCAAGAAAAAGCAGAGGUAUAAUAUAUUCAACUCAAUUUGGGGAGAUAGUUACUUUGUCAAUUCUGUGUAUGCUGUUUGUUUUUCAGGUAAAAUAUCUGGUUUAAGAAUAGACUAGUGUCAUCAUAAUCCACCACUAGUGAUAAUACUGGUGUUGAGACUCUUAAAAAAAACUUUGUAAAAAGACAGUGAGCUACAGAUGCAUGUGCUGUAUUUUUAGCUCACAUACAAAUAUUAGAAGUCUUAUUAAAAUGAUAGGGGUUUUUUUUUUUUUAGCAGAGGAGGAAUGAAUGCUGCAUAAUUAAGUACAGUAUUUAAUUUGGCUGUUGUGAAGCAAAAGAAUAAGGUAAUAAUUUUUAUUGUACUAAUCAGUCUCAAGAUGUUCUCUGUGUUAAUUGGGUUAAAAAAAUUGCAGUACUUAUUAGAAAUUCUAAUUUCACAAUGCAGCACUGACAAUAAGCUCAGCCAGUGAAUUAUUCACAUCUUUAAUUUGCUCACUUAAUGACAGUGUUCUGUAAUCAGAGUGCAGAGACUGCUGCCUAUGCAUUAUGUAUGAUGCUCAGGACUUAAAUGCAGGACAUUAUGAAGCUCUCAGUGGUUCAGUAAUUAGUUUUCCACAAGACAGGAUUUAGAUAUUCACAGAUAAAAGUCCACAGUUGGAUAAUGCUAAGGUUGCAACACAAAAUAACAAAGGAAAGGAAGCUCAAAGUUUAGACUGAAACUUUGUCUCUCCGGCCUUGUCCACUGUGGAAACAGAAUCAUGCCACCUGAAAUAGUUGCCUAGCUCUGAUCACAUGUUUGAAAACUGUUUUUGAACAAAGUUGUAGCAGGCGAGGCAUUUGAACAAUUUCAGUGGACCAGAGGGGAAAGAUAAAACCUUUUUAAUUAGUGUUCACAGAAGCCCUGCAAUAUAUCCUCCUAAUAAGUCUGUAGUAUGCAUAGCAGGCAUUCUCAGUGUGCUUUGUAACUUAGUUAGUGCAAAUGCAAAUCAGGUUACAGUGGUGUUUGGCUGUAAUUGUGUUUGUAAAAGGGUUACAUGCCCAAAUGGAGAUUGAGCUUGCUCAUGGUUUUGUUCCAGUUGCUUCUGAGGGAAGGUUUGAAAAUCAAAUGAGAUAUUAAGUGAAUCUGGACAUGAAAGGAAGUAGAUCUGAAUUGUCAGUGCAACUUUGGGAUUUCUUCCACUUGUCGGUUUAGAGUUGUCAGUUUUUCUUUAAUGAUUCUAGGUUGUUCUGUCAUGAGUGAUAUAACCUUUGAGACUAACCAGAACUGCUAGCAAUACUUUAAAAAUGUAUACUAACUUUGGGAAAACAUUUCACAGUAUUAAUUCUAAAGUUUAAUAGCCAGAUUGGAAACUUUACAGUGAUUUAAACAACAACAACAAAACAAACAAACAAACAAGCAAACAAAAAACAUGUUGCCUGGUAGACUUUAUGGGGAUUUUUGAGGAUUUAAACAUUAAUAUUUAUUAAUAAGAUCUCACUGCUUUACCAUUUGUUUGUCUAAGAUUUGUGCUCAUUUCCAAAACCCAAGUGUCAAGAUCCUUAAUCAAAUUUGGCAUUUUAAAUAAAAAUGCAGAGUAAUACUUUAAAACUGCCUUUUAUAGCUUAGAACAUUUUUUUAAGGAAACUUGAGUUAAGAUAUCUAUAGGCAAAUGUAAUGUUUAGGGAAGGAAUGAACUAGCGAAAUAAAAAGAAAGUACAUUCCACCUUAAUUUGAAAAAUUCCAAAUUAAAAAAAAAAUUAAGUCACACCUCCAAAUUUGACUUCUACUUUCUAGAACUGAAAAGCUACUUUAACAAAAUAAAGAUGUUUUUCACAUAUGUUUAGGAAGCUGUUGCCUUUGUGACACUUCAAACAUGGUUUUUGGGAAAGGGCACUUGGUUAGGGGAUGAAUUAGGAUAUUGUAUAGUUGAGGAAGUGACCUGACUUGACUUGGAUCCAGUAUAAUAUGUGGCAAUCAGUUGGUAGCAGUGGUGCUUUUAGUAGCUUAAAGAAAUACUGGGAAUUAGGAAACUUGAGUUCUGGUUCCAUUUUGGCCACAAACCAGCUAUGUCACAUUGAGCACCUAAAUUGAUUUUCCAUUUCCUUAUCUGUCAGACCGGAAUAACAAACUUUUCUAAGAUUUAGAAAAAAAACAAAAAAACAAAACAAAACAAAACAAAAAAAAACAACUGCCACGUUAUUAUGGGGAGAAAUGAGGUAGAGGAGUGAAAGUUUUUUGAAAACUUAAAAGCACUAGAUAAAAAUAUGAAAGCUAUUUUAAGGAUUAACAAAAACCAAAAUGUGUGUCUUUGAAUCUGUAUUGUUUAUUAUGGAAGAGAUUCUUAUCCAGAUUUGCAACACUCUGUAAUGUAAAAAUGUCAAAAUAUUGUCAAGUAAAUAAAUUUAAAUUCAAUUUAAUGAAAAUAAGCCAUGAAAAAAAUGCCCUUCUUAGGUGUUUGGGGGAGAACAAGAAAGCCUUGAGAUUCCAUGAACAUCAGUUUGGUGUCAUCACUCCAAAAAGGUUGGCAAUCAUCUUGCCUUGGACAUUUCUUUCACUUAUCACUGAAGAGACACAUAUUAAUACUGUAACAAGUCUUAUGCUUGGAAUAUCUGCCAGUUAUCAAGAUUUUGGCCAUUCUUCUCAUUAGAUUAUGAGUCAGAAUGAGAUAAUUUACACCACUGGAAUUUUGGAGCUCUUUUUCUCACCAAAAAUGGUCAAUAUAUCAACCAAUCAAUAAUUGAUUAUCUGUUAAUUUUUCUUUGGCUGUCUAUUGAGCACUUACAAUGCUAUCAAAACUAACAUGCUAUCUUGCCCUCAUUUUUAUGAGGUGGUUGUCUCCUUAUUCUAGAUGAGAGACUGAAGCACAAAGAAAUUAAGUAUUUUGACAAUACCACAUAGCUGCUGAGUAGUAGCAUUAGAAUUGAACCAGAUCCAAGUCCUGAUGUUGCAACCAAUAGACUACAUUGUUAGUUGCCAAGGUCCUGAGCUCUGUGCUGAGAUAAAGGAAUUGAUUGAGAUUCCUGCCCUCACAUUGCUCACAGUGGUAAUAUUUGAGUUUCUUCCACCUGCUCCUUGUGGGUCAAGACUUGCUACUCACAGUGUGGGCUACGACAGCAUUGGCAUUGUUUGCAACCAGGGUUGGGUGCUUUACUAACUUUGAUGUGACUUUUAAAUCAACUGGGGAUCUGGUUAAAAUCCGAUUCUGAUUCAGUAGGUCAGGGAUGGGGCCCAAGAUGCUUUUCUAACAGGUUUCCAGGUGAUGCAAUGUUGCUGUU
rnacentral:lncRNA from 1 species